rnacentral:rRNA from 1 species
CCCUUAGAUGUUCUGGGCCGCACGCGCGCUACACUGUUCGACGCAGCGAGUCUUAACCUUGACCGAAAGGUUUGGGUAAUCUUCAGCAAAGUCGAACGUGAUGGGGAUCGAUCAUUGCAAUUAUUGAUCGUGAACGAGGAAUUCCUAGUAAGUGCAAGUCAUCAGCUUGCGCUGAUUACGUCCCUGCCCUUUGUACACACCGCCCGUCGCUACUACCGAUUGGAUGGUUUAGUGAGAUCCUCGGAUUGGUCCCGGCGCGGCCUCUGGUCGUGCCGGAGUGCCGAAAAGAAUGUCGAACUUGAUCAUCUAGAGGAAGUAAAAGUCGUAACA